UAAUGAUGAAGAUAUUGAUACAUCAAAACCACCACCAACUCCUGGGAAAUCGAUUAAACGAGAUUUUCCUGAAAUCUACAGGAAAUACGACCAGCCGACAAAGCCAGCGGAAUUGGAAUGGAAAGAGUGUUUUAGAUAAAAAAGGGAAAAAACAGGUCAUGAUCCGGAAAUUUCCAAACCAGAACAGGAGUCAAUGGAUAGAGGAAUUAUAUUCUACCAGCGGCUCCAUUAAUAGCGUGAGGAAAAAUGAAGACGUGAAACGGGAUCAAAAACGAAAAAGGUGUUCAUUACAAGAAGUCGAUGCUAAUUCAUCCCAGAUGACAUUAGUUGUACGCUAGCUCAUGAACGGAUAUGUUGAGAUAAAAGCCUAAUAAUAAACCUCAAUUACUGUUAUUUAUCAUAUAUAACCGGUACAGAUAAAAAACAUAUAUUCAAUCCAAAAAAAGAAAAAUAGAACAUGAGUCAUCAGUACUUUGGUAAACCAAUAUCGACUUAAUUUUUUGUAAUUAUACCCAAAAGAAUAACUUAUUUUCUAUUGACUGAAGACGUUUCAGACAUGAUGAAGUUAUGGGUAAACUGGCUCUUACUUUUUAUUUCAAUGGCAACAGCCGAAAAGUUGAACAAUACGAUUGAGAGACUAACUGGCAAUGAAUUAAAUUGUACAACUCGUGAAUGUGUGAAGGA